GCAUAUCAAUAAGCGGAGGAAAAGAAACCAACAGGGAUUGCCCCAGUAACGGCGAAGUGAAGCGGCAACAGCUCAAAUUUGAAAUCUGGCCUCGGCCCGAGUUGUAAUUUGCAGAGGAAGCUUCUGGUGCGGCGCCGUCCGAGUCUCCUGGAACGGAGCGCCAUAGAGGGUGAGAGCCCCGUAUGGACGGAUGCCAAACCUGUGUGAAGCUCCUUCGACGAGUCGAGUAGUUUGGGAAUGCUGCUCUAAAUGGGAGGUAAAUUCCUUCUAAAGCUAAAUAUUGGCCAGAGACCGAUAGCGCACAAGUAGAGUGAUCGAAAGAUGAAAAGCACUUUGAAAAGAGGGUUAAACAGCACGUGAAAUUGUUGAAAGGGAAGCGCUUGUGACCAGACUUGAGCGCGGCGGAUCAUCCGGUGUUCUCACCGGUGCACUCCGCCGCGCCCAGGCCAGCAUCGGCUUCCGCGGGGGGACAAAGGUCCCGGGAACGUAGCUCCUCCGGGAGUGUUAUAGCCCGGGGCGCAAUGCCCCCGCGGGGGCCGAGGACCGCGCAUCUGCAAGGAUGCUGGCGUAAUGGUCAUCAGCGACCCGUCUUGAAACACGGACCAAGGAGUCAAGGUUUUGCGCGAGUGUUUGGGUGUUAAACCCGCACGCGUAAUGAAAGUGAACGUAGGUGAGAGCUUCGGCGCAUCAUCGACCGAUCCUGAUGUUUUCGGAUGGAUUUGAGUAGGAGCGUUAAGCCUUGGACCCGAAAGAUGGUGAACUAUGCUUGGAUAGGGUGAAGCCAAGAGGAAACUCUGGUGGAGGCUCGCAGCGGUUCUGACGUGCAAAUCGAAUCGUCAAAUUCUGAGCAUGGGGGGCGAAAGACUAAUCGAACCAUCUAGUAGCUGGUUUACCCGCCGAAGU
rnacentral:rRNA from 1 species